CCUGUGCAUCGCUCCACCGCCGUCCGCCGCAAGGUGGAGGGAGGAAAGUCCGGGCAGCGUAGGGCAGCGUGCUUCCUAACGGGAAGGGGGCCACUUGGGAACGGGUGGUCCACAGAAAGUGCCGCAGAAAGGGAAACCGCCCAUCGCAAGGUGGGUAAGGAUGAAAAGGUGCGGUAAGAGCGCACCAGUGUUCCUGGCGACAGGGCAGCUUGGUAAACCUCACGCGCUGAAAGACCAUGUAUACCGUGCGUUCCGUAGUGCCGGAGCGAGGAAAGCCCGUCCUUCCAACGCAUGUUGGAGCGCGGAGGGUAGGUCGAUGGAGUCCCGCUGUGAAGCGGGACCUAGAUAGAUGGUGGAGGCUGCCGCGAGGUGGUACAGAACCCGGCUUACAGAUGCACAGGAACU
rnacentral:RNase_P_RNA from 1 species